rnacentral:lncRNA from 1 species
AUGUCCACCUUUUACUGUAUCUUUGGCCAACAUUUAAAAAGAUUAAGGUAAAAGUACCUAUUCAUGGAAUCGUUAAGAAGAGAUUUGUAUCGCAAUUGGAAUUAACCAGAAAAUACCCAGAGAAUAUAAACAAACAAAAAGAUUAAGGUAAAAGUACCUAUUCAUGGAAUCGUUAAGAAGAGAUUUGUAUCGCAAUUGGAAUUAACCAGAAAAUACCCAGAGAAUAUAAACAAACAAAAAGAUUAAGGUAAAAGUACCUAUUCAUGGAAUCGUUAAGAAGAGAUUUGUAUCGCAAUUGGAAUUAACCAGAAAAUACCCA